rnacentral:rRNA from 1 species
UACGGGGGGGGCGAGCGUUGUUCGGAAUUACUGGGCGUAAAGGGUUCGUAGGUGGCCAACUAAGUCAGACGUGAAAUCCCUCAGCUUAACUGGGGAACUGCGUCUGAUACUGGUUGGCUUGAGUGCAGGAGAGGAACGCGGAAUUCCAGGUGUAGCGGUGAAAUGCGUAGAUAUCUGGAGGAACACCGGUGGCGAAGGCGGCAUCCUGGACCAAUAUUGACGCUGAGGAGCGAAAGCCAGGGGAGCAAAGCGGGG